ACAAUCCCACACUUGACAUUCCAUCAUCUGAUUCUUCACCAUCUUCAAAAACUAGUUUAAUUGCUUUCUCAGCAACUUCCCCUCCUAUCCCCUUAUUCACAAGUGCCUGCUUGAUCUUCCUUGGUCCCCAACUGGAGGAAGACCACCUCGAACGACAAAAUGCUUCGGCAUACAACCCAUCGUUGAUCAACCCCCUGCUUUUGAAAUCAUUGA
rnacentral:misc_RNA from 1 species